rfam:Microbial mat metagenome hsmat03_BHWI7910_x1, whole genome shotgun sequence.
CGCUUUCUGUGGUAACACAGCGAGUGAUCAAACAGAAGUCAGCCGAGGCCAUAGUAGCCCAACGCCAGGAGUAAUGCCCUGGACAUGGUGAAGGGC